GAACGCUGGCGGCAGGCUUAACACAUGCAAGUCGAGCGGGGGAAGGUAGCUUGCUACCGGACCUAGCGGCGGACGGGUGAGUAAUGCUUAGGAAUCUGCCUAUUAGUGGGGGACAACAUCUCGAAAGGGAUGCUAAUACCGCAUACGUCCUACGGGAGAAAGCAGGGGAUCUUCGGACCUUGCGCUAAUAGAUGAGCCUAAGUCGGAUUAGCUAGUUGGUGGGGUAAAGGCCUACCAAGGCGACGAUCUGUAGCGGGUCUGAGAGGAUGAUCCGCCACACUGGGACUGAGACACGGCCCAGACUCCUACGGGAGGCAGCAGUGGGGAAUAUUGGACAAUGGGGGGAACCCUGAUCCAGCCAUGCCGCGUGUGUGAAGAAGGCCUUAUGGUUGUAAAGCACUUUAAGCGAGGAGGAGGCUACUUUAGUUAAUACCUAGAGAUAGUGGACGUUACUCGCAGAAUAAGCACCGGCUAACUCUGUGCCAGCAGCCGCGGUAAUACAG
rnacentral:rRNA from 1 species